AUGAACGGAUAUCAGCUACACUCCUCCUUCCUGUGCCUUCAGUGCAGAUCUGCCCCCCAAAUGUGGAGACCUAAAGCUACUUCUUCCCAAGGAUUUGAAUCCUGCACUUCAGAGAGAUGCAGAAGGAGCAUCAUCACCUGGCACAAUGUUACAGGGAGUUUAAACUAUAAAAUGUUACAAGGUAAGUACUGCAUUGCUGACAUGGGUGAAAACUCAUUGAAUCCCUGCUGACUGGAAAGGCUGCUGUGUGAUGACUGCAUAGUUCAGCAGACAACCUGUGGUGAUCAAUUACUGUCUUUCGCCUCCUUCUCUGACGCAGCCUCCUGUAGCUUAGGCUAUUUCAAACAAAUCAUGUGGGAACCUGAAGUGAACGUUUUUUUUUUUUUUGCUCCAUGAAUGUAUUUUAAAGCUUUAUCUCAGAAGACCAGUAAGUGGGUUAAACAUUAAAAAAAAAUUAGUAAGAUUAGUAGAUAAAAGUAGGAUGUGGUUGUGAAGUCAAGCACAAAAUAUAGCAGAAUGUUAAUCAGGUGUUAGUGCUACAGGUUCUAAAAGUUUUUUGUUGCUUUGCAGGCUGCCCUCAACCGAGGAGCCUCAUGCCUCUUGUGUGAGAAACCAUUUCAGAUGUUACUGAUGUUGAUGAAGACAAGGCCUUCCUAAUUAAAGGUAAUGAAUAAACCUUUACUUUUUAGGUGGAUGCUACUUUUG
rnacentral:lncRNA from 1 species